ensembl:miRNA
GUGCAAAAGUAAUUGCGGUUUUUGCCGUUUACAUUUAAUGGCAAAAGCUGCAAUUACUUUUGCACCA